GUUGUCGUGGCCGAGUGGUUAAGGCGAUAUACUAGAAAUCUUUCGGGAUCUUAGCAGGUUCGAAUCCUGCCGACAACG
rnacentral:tRNA from 1 species